AGAGUUUGAUCAGUGGCUACAGGACGAACGCUGGCGGCGUGCUUAACACAUGCAAGUCGAACGGUGACCCAGGGCUUGCCCUGGUGAUCAGUGGCGAACGGGUGAGUAACACGUGGGCAACCUGCCCCUGACUUCGGGAUAACUCCUCGAAAGAGGAGCUAAUACCGGAUACGACCACUUCGGACAUCCGAUGGUGGUGGAAAGUUUUUCGGUCAGGGAUGGGCCCGCGGCCUAUCAGCUAGUUGGUGGGGUAAUGGCCUACCAAGGCGACGACGGGUAGCCGGCCUGAGAGGGCGACCGGCCACACUGGGACUGAGACACGGCCCAGACUCCUACGGGAGGCAGCAGUGGGGAAUAUUGCGCAAUGGGCGAAAGCCUGACGCAGCGACGCCGCGUGAGGGAUGAAGGCCUUCGGGUUGUAAACCUCUUUCAGCAGGGACGAAGCGAAAGUGACGGUACCUGCAGAAGAAGCACCGGCUAACUACGUG
rnacentral:rRNA from 1 species